rnacentral:rRNA from 1 species
CAAUAGUGUAUCUUAAUGUUGUUGCAGUUAAAAAGCUCGUAGUUGAAUUUCUGGCGGCCUGAUCAAGCUUAUGCGAGAUCUUGGGCCGUCAUCCGCGUUGGAUUCUCAUUCGUCAGCAAUGACAAUGUUAGGAAGGCGCAUUUUACUUUGAAGAAAUUAGAGUGUUCCAGGCAGGCUAUGCUUGAAUAUUACAGCAUGGAAUAAUGGAAAAGGACAAGUUCAUUUUAUUGGUUAUUGAGCUUUGUAAUGAUUAACAGGGACAGUUGGGGGCAUUCGUAUUGAAUAGUUAGAGGUAAAAUUCGUAGAUCUAUUCAAGACGCACUAAUGCGAAGGCAUUUGCCAAGGAUGUUUUCAUUAAUCAAGAACGAAAGUUAGGGGAUCAAAGAUGAUCAGAUACCGU